rfam:Nicotiana attenuata strain TT scaffold05424, whole genome shotgun sequence.
UGGAUAGAUUAUUGUAUUCGACUAUAUUCACGGCGUGAAACUGGGGAUUACACUGUUUUUAAACAGAAAGUGAAUCAAUUAACAUAAUAACGACUCCU